rnacentral:rRNA from 1 species
AUUGAACGCUGGCGGCAGGCCUAACACAUGCAAGUCGAGCGGAUGAAGGGAGCUUGCUCCUGGAUUCAGCGGCGGACGGGUGAGUAAUGCCUAGGAAUCUGCCUGGUAGUGGGGGAUAACGUCCGGAUACGGGCGCUAAUACCGCAUACGUCCUGAGGGAGAAAGUGGGGGAUCUUCGGACCUCACGCUAUCAGAUGAGCCUAGGUCGGAUUAGCUAGUUGGUGGGGUAAAGGCCUACCAAGGCGACGAUCCGUAACUGGUCUGAGAGGAUGAUCAGUCACACUGGAACUGAGACACGGCCCAGACUCCUACGGGAGGCAGCAGUGGGGAAUAUUGGACAAUGGGCGAAAGCCUGAUCCAGCCAUGCCGCGUGUGUGAAGAAGGUCUUCGGAUUGUAAAGCACUGUAGGUUGGGAGGAAGGGCAGUAAGUUAAUACCUUGCUGUUUUGACGGUACCGACAGAAUAAGCACCGGCUAACUUCGUG